ACGCACGCUGGCGGCGUGCUUAACACAUGCAAGUCGAACGGAAAGGCCCUGCUUUUGUGGGGUGCUCGAGUGGCGAACGGGUGAGUAACACGUGAGUAACCUGCCCUUGACUUUGGGAUAACUUCAGGAAACUGGGGCUAAUACCGGAUAGGAGCUCCUGCUGCAUGGUGGGGGUUGGAAAGUUUCGGCGGUUGGGGAUGGACUCGCGGCUUAUCAGCUUGUUGGUGGGGUAGUGGCUUACCAAGGCUUUGACGGGUAGCCGGCCUGAGAGGGUGACCGGCCACAUUGGGACUGAGAUACGGCCCAGACUCCUACGGGAGGCAGCAGUGGGGAAUAUUGCACAAUGGGCGGAAGCCUGAUGCAGCAACGCCGCGUGCGGGAUGACGGCCUUCGGGUUGUAAACCGCUUUCGCCUGUGACGAAGCGUGAGUGACAGUAAUGGGUAAAGAAGCACCGGCUAACUACGUG
rnacentral:rRNA from 1 species